CCUAGCUCAGUGUGUGAUACACAGUGGAUGCUCUGCAGAUGGCUACAGACUACUUACUCUCUCUACCCUUGGCUGCAUAAGUUCUUCCGAACUCCAACAAAUGGAAAGUCUCCUCUGGACAUCUGUGGAUAAAGAGUUGUCCGUCGGAAGAACUCAAUCUCAUUGGUUAUGUCACAAAGGAAGAAGAGCACAUUUGCUUUAAUGGAGUUUAUUUGGAGCAUCCUGCCGCUAAUGUGAGCACACAGAUUGGGCAAGUUCCACCAGCAUAACUUUAAAACUAUUUGUACUCAAUUAAAUGUUUAUUUAAAAUUU